CCCUUAGAUGUUCUGGGCCGCACGCGUGCUACACUGAUGCAUUCAACGAGUCUAAAACCUGGUCUGAUAGGGCUGGGUAAUCUUUUGAAAGUGCAUCGUGAUUGGGAUAGAUGAUUGCAAUUCUUCAUCUUCAACGAGGAAUGCCUAGUAAACGCAAGUCAUCAGCUUGCAUUGAUUACGUCCCUGCCCUUUGUACACACCGCCCGUCGCUCCUACCGAUUGAAUGAUCCGAUGAAUAUCAUGGAUUGAGAGUACGAAUGGGUUCGCUUAUUUCUGCUGCUCGAGAAGUGGAGUAAAUCUUAUCAUUUAGAGGAAGGAGAAGUCGUAACA
rnacentral:rRNA from 1 species